rnacentral:lncRNA from 1 species
CAAUUUUGUUAGAAAUAAUUUGGAUCCAGCUAUCUUUAUACAAUGAUAGAAUGACCACAACCAUAUUAACAAACCAAAAACCUGUGCACAGAAACAAGAUGAAGAAAAUAUAUCAAGAUGUUAACCACACUCUUUGGAUGGUGAAAACAUGGGUGAGUUUCUCUUCUACAUUUCUGUAACUUCAAAGUUUCUAUAAUGAACACAUUUCAUAUAUAAUGGAAAUAUAUGUAGUAAAGGUGGACUACCAAAACACUAGAAUGAUGACCUUUCAAGGAAACCGAAACAAAAUAACCAUAAUCCCACAACAACCACACAACUAUUUCUUGUUUUCCAUCUUUCUUCCCAUCUUUGACACUUAUGCAUACUUAUCACUAACACCCUAAUAAUCACAGACUAGUGCACAGAUCAAGAUGUUAACAGUUAAUUGUUGUUGGGUGUUGGGAAUAUGUGUGAAUUUUCUUUACUGAAUUUCCAAAGUUUUGUAUGAGUAUGUAUUAUAUUUGUAAUGGAAAAUACAUACAUAAAAUUUAUUACCAAAACACCAAAGAUUAUUUAAGGAAUUUGAGACAAAAUAUUUAACCAAAUUCCCACAAUGACAACACUAUUUUAGUUAUUUUCCACAUCUUUUCAUUUAAGACUUUAUGCACACAUAUUUAACACUGUUAUCACAAGCGUGUGCACUGAAACAAGAUAGAGGAAACAGAUCAAGAUGUUAGCAGUAGUUGUUGGGUGUUGGGAAUAUAGGUAAUUUUUUUAAAUAAUUUACUUUAUUUUCUAAUUUUUCCUCUGGGUAUGUAUUAUGCACACCAAUGGAGACAUACAUAAUACACUGUUAUCAGGACAUUAUUAUAGGGAACAUUUGAAAAAAUUAAAGUGAAAGUAUUUAACCAUAAUUCCACAAAGGUAACGUAACAGCUAUUUUGAAUAUACAUUUUGACACAGUUAUAAUCAUAAACCUGUGCACAGAAACAAGAAUGAACAAGAUAGAGGAGAGUAUAUGUCUUUGGAUGGUGGGGAUAUGAUUUUUUUUCCUCCACUUUUCUGUAUUUUCCAAGUGUGUGAUAAUGAGUUCAAAUUAUGUUCACAAUGAAAAUGUGAUCAUAAACUUUUUAGUAACACUACCAUAAAGAACAUUCAAGAAAUUUAAGAAAAUAAUGCUCAACUAUAAGCCUACAACAACAACCACAACAGCUUUUGACUAUAAGCAUAUAUAUUUUUAAACAGUUAUAACUGUAGUAUAAAUAUACUUUCGUGUCCUGCUUUCUCCACUUAAUGUUCUGUAAAUAUAUUUCCACGUUGCUACAUAACUCGUGAUUAUCAUUUUUAAACAGUUGCAUUAAGUGUCCACAGAUAGGUUUAAACAAUCAUUCUCUUGUUUACCAUUUGUUACUACCUUUUCACUAGCUGAAGGUUGGAACGGACACCCUGACUUACAGCAAGUUGCUUUCUGAAAAGGGGCUACCACUGCCAACAAUGUUAACACCAAGUAAUGUACCCACAAAGUUCACCCCGACAUCAACACUGAUUCUCGUUUCAAGAGUCCUUUUCCCAUGUAGUAAACCUCACUGCCCCUCAGCUUUCCUGAUGUCCGUUCCAACCUCAGGCCUUCCUAUGCAGCCAGCCCUCACCUACACCAUACCAUCAAAAACUCCUUUUCCAAACUGCUCAGGACACCCCACUCAAUUCAUUCUCAGAAACCUGGCCUUCUACAGUUCUUGCCUCUGGUGUUUUCUUCUGUCUGUCUCCUCUCCCCUACUAGAUCUGGUGAUAUAUUAGGACUCCCUUCUUUGACUCACUCAUUUCUGCUUCUUGCUCUCAGCUCUACAAUCUUCCUAAACUUUGACACUCCCUGCAUCUUUGACAUACUUCCAAGCCCUAAUCCUGCAGAUCCAGAAGAGUAAGAUUCAGACACAUUUCCCCCAGUGGGUACUUUAAUUUUGCUUGUUCAAAUGAUCUACACUUACAUUUUGCAAAUCUUUUUUUUUUAAUUUUUUAAAUUUUAUAUUUUUUUUCCAGCCAACUCAAGGCCAAAAAAAAUUUCUUAAUAUAGUUAUUAUGCGAGGGGAGGGGAAGCAAAGGAGCACAGGUAGUCCACAGAAUAGGACACAAGAAACCUCAAGCUGUGAGGUCAAUUUGUAAUUAAAAGAAUACUAAGAUUAGAUGAACACAACACUCAGAAAUACUCUAGGAGAGCUGAAAAAGAAGGAACAGAUGUUAACAAAACAAAUUAAGGCUGCUGGGGAACCUGAGUCCAUGUUAAGCUUGGGUUGACUGUAAAGAAUUUUUUUUUUUUUUAAUGCAAGUUAGACAUGGAGUUAGAGGGUCAGAUAAAUAACGAAGAGAAUUAAGUUAGCGAUAGAAAGAUCUAAGGAUACUAGCUCCUGGGCACCUAGGGUGCAAACUGACUUGUGGCAGCAUAAGCUGAUGCUGCACAGGGGACCCAAGCCAUGUUGCUACUUGUCACUUAAGGCAGGAAGCGCACAAAGGAAGUGAUGAAAGGUUAUUAGCCUGCAACAUUAUUUACAGCAUGAGAGCCUCUCCUACGGUUCUCAACCUUCAUUAGGCACUACUGUGAUCUAGUGAUGGUUGUAACCCAUUCUUUAAAGGCAAAGAUGUAAGAUUUACAGGGAAAAGCUUCGGGUUUUAUCAAUUCACUAUCAUCAAACACAUAUUGAGUUGGUUAAAAAAAAAAAAACCCCAGAACACAAUGAGAACCACUUCAACAAACAUAACAUGUGGCAACCAAUCAAUCUGGGUCACAAAAAGCCAAUCCGUAUAUUGUAAAGCCUUACAGAGUAUUAGGUUCCAAAGUGUUGGUGCAGAUGAAAUGGCUGCAGAAAGAAGCUAAAGUACUUAUCUUUUCAAACAGUAAGGAGUAAAAGCCAUGUUAUCUAUCAUGCCUACAGCUUCACAAGACUAUUUAAGGGUAAGAAACAAAACAAUUACUCAAAAAGAUAUUGACAGGGUUCAAAUAAUGCACAAUAAAUCUUUCUCAGGAUCUAAGACACUUAAAAAUAUAAUCAAAUUUGUUGCUCUCUUCCUCCUCCAAAAAAAAAAAAAUCAAAGAAUACCAGGUAAGGUACCUCUGCAGAGUAAACUGUAACUGUAUAUCAUAUUAAAUCCAAAUAUAUGUGAUCACUGUUCUGUCAUAAUUUGCUAUUUUAUAUACACCUCAUGAAACGCUAUAUAUACGUUACACAAGUGUCAUUUACAGUUGAUUUGGGCAAACUUUGUAGUCUGGAAUACUCAUAGGGUUUUCUCAAUCUGAUUACUUGGAAAGGUAAGAUGUGUGCUAUGGCUUUCCCACAUGCAGACACUGACAUCUGAAGGGGAAAGCUUAAGACUGUGGAAUCUGCACAUUCGGUCUCUUUUCAAUCUGAGUUUAGAGAUGUUAAGUCAGGUGUGUAACACACUAAGGUUAAGUCUCCUACUGACAUUAUCAUGGAUUGGUUUGAAUUCUCUGUGGUUUGGUAAGGGUCAAGUCCUAGGUGAAGGUUUUCUAACCUUUACCCCAUGCCCUCAGCCAGUGUGGGUAUUCUGGUGUCUGGCGAGGGACAGGCGGUCAUUGAAGAGCUGCCCACAGACGUCACAUUUGAAGUACUUCUCAUCAGCUUGAUUGGCACCACCUGUGCUGGUGCUGGCACGUUCGAUGUAGCCUGAGCACUCCCCAAAGGCAUUUGCAGGCUCAAAUAUGAUCAUGCUGGCAUGAGUUUUCAGGUGUUCACCGAAUGCUGUGCUGGAAGUGAAGGUUUCUGUGCAUUCAUGGCAGUCAUAGUAUGGUUCUUCUACCUGAAUCUCUUGAUCUUCACCUUCUUCUGGGUCUUCAAUUCCCACACCGUCAGGCUCGUCGGCAUCUCCCUCUGGCUCUUCAGCUUUUCCCUCUGGCUCUUCAGCUCUUUCUUCUGGGUCUUCAAUACCUGCACCAUCUGGCUCAUCAGCAUCCCCAUUUGGCUGCUCGGCCUCUCCAUUUGGCUGUCCAGCCUCUCCAAUGGGCUCUGCAGCCUCUCCAUCUGGCCCUUCAGCCUCUCCGUUUGGCUCAGCAGCCUCCACUUCUGGCUCAGCAGCCUCCACUUCUGGCUCGGCAGCCUCCACUUCUGGCUCAGCAGCCUCUACGUUUGAGCCCUGAAUCCUCAGAACUACUUGUGGAACAUGGACAUUGGCUUCAACUUCCUGGGCUGCUGCUGCUGCAGCUGCUGCUGCUUCAUCUUCUUCUUCUUCUUCCAGAUGAAGCUCCUUAUGUUUAGUGAGGACUGUGCUAUGAAUAAAGGACUUACCACAAUCCUUGCAUUCAUAGAAUGGUAUAGCUCCUUUGAGGGGCUCAGUAAGAAAUGAGGUGUGAGUAUAGGAGGACCCGUACUCAUAGGGCUCAUUCUUAUGAACAGUUACGUGAUCUGCAAGUUCUGCUGGGUUGAUGAAAGAUUCUCCACAGACUGCACAUUCAAAGAGUCUCUCUUCGGUCUGACUUCUCUGAAACUCAGUGAGGGCUAAGCCUGGAAUGAUAGCUUCCUCAGCCAUCUGGCUCUGCUCCAGUAAAUCAUCUUCCCUAUGAAGUCUCAUAUGCUCAUUAAGGGCAGAGCUAUGAAUGAAGCCUUGUCCACACAAAAGGCAUCGAAUGGCUGACCCAGCAAGAGCAGGAUUCCUCUCCGCAGCACGAUUCCUCCGUGGCUUCAUGGGCAAGAGGGCAAUAAAACCAUCAUCACACCCCUUCAUGGAAUACAACUGGUCUUGUUCAUGGAUUCUCUGAUGCUCGAAAAGGAAUGAGCUAUGAAUAAAAGAUUCCCCACACUUUGGACAUUCAUACAGCUGCUCUCCAGUGUAAUCUCUCUGAUACUCGCUGAUGGAAUGGGUGUGAAUUACAGAAUGUGUGUACUCCCGACUGUCAACCAGGCACUUCCUGCUGUGGACUUUCUGAUGGUCUGUGAGGUCUGUGAGAUCCACAAAGCCCAGGCCACAGUCCUCACAUUCAUAGAUUUUGUCAUCAGGGUCAUCCUUCUGAGGGUCUUCCAUGUCUGAGCCUUGAAUGACAGGGUCUUCAAUUGUCUCCUGACCAUGGGUCUCCUCGCUGUGGGUCUCCUCCCCAUCAGUAUUCUCGCCUUGAGACUCCUCGCCAUGAGACUUCUCUUGGUCAUAGAUUUUCUGGUUUGUGUUGAGGUCUUCGCUGGUAGCAAAAAAUUGUCUGAACUCCUUACAUUUGUUCCACGCUUGCUCUUUAGCAUACUGCUCUUGGGCGUAACUUGUUUGAGGGUCAGUAGGGGCCAAGCUGCGAAUGACAGACCAUUCAUAGUUUCUGCUUCCAGAGGGCUUCUCUCUAUCAUGAAUCUUCUGGUGCUCAGUGAGGUCAGAGCUAUGAGCAAAGCACUCCCCACACUCCUGACAUUCAUAGAGCAUCCCUCGAGGGCGAAAUGUUUGUUCACCAAAAGGCAGAGAGUGAAUUACAGAGGUCUCAUUGCUCCUAUGCUCAAUGUAUUUCUUUUUAGCACGAGCCUUCUGGUAUUCACGGACAUUUGAGCUGGGAACAGAGAAUUCGCCAUCCUUCUUAAACUCACCAGAUCCCUCUCCAGGAACACUUUUCUGAGGUUUGGCACGGGAUACACUCUGUAUGACAGAGUCUUCAUAGUUGCGAUUCUUACUGCCCCCUUCACAAGGGUUCUCUCUGGCAGGAAUCUUCUGUCGCUUAUCAUUAAGGUCUGAGAUAUAGAUGGAGGAUUCUCCCUUCUCAUUAGAUUCCACCAAUUCAUUUCCAUUGUGACUUCUUGGAGGUUUGGAAGCCACUAAGCUAUGGAUAACAGACCUACUGUAUUCCCUUCCUUCAGAGGUGUUCCCUCCAGCACGAACUCUCUGAUGGUUGAUAGCAUCGAAGCUCUGAAUGGUAGACUCUGCCAUUACUUUUGGUUUACUGGGCCCUGCUACACUGUGACUUUUCUGAGCUUCCACAGAGGCUAAGCUAUGAAUAACAGACCUCUCAUAUGAUUUUGCCUCAUAGACAUUUUCCUUAGUGGGAAUCUUCUGGUUUUCAUAGGGGUUAGAGCUAAUGGUGAACGCCUUUUCGUCCUCAUCACUUUCAAGAGGUCUUGUUAUAGUAUGACUCUUCUGAGAUUCCGUGAAUGGCCCACUAUGAAUGACAGAUUUCUCAUACCCUCUGCCUUCAAAGAGGUUCUUUCGAGAAUGAAUUUUCUGAUGCUCACUGAGCUCUGAGCUUUGCAUGAAGGCAUCCCGGCCAUCUGUAAAGUCAUAGAGCUUCUCCUUAUUGUAAGUUUUCUGACGCUUUUUAAGGGACUGACCAGGAAUAAAGGUUUCCUCACACACUUUACCCUUGUUUUCAAAUGGGUUCCCUCUAGUAUGGAUUUUCUGAUGUUCUUUCAGGGAUGAGCUAUGAAGGAAAGUCUCCCCACACACCUUACAUUCGUACAUUUUCUCUUUACCAUACAUUUUCUGAAACUCAUUAAGGGCUGGGCUGGGCCUAAAGGUUUCCCCACGCUCACGUUCACGUUCAUGUUCACGCUCAUUAUCUUUGUCAUCCCCAAAGUGGAUUUUCUGGUGCUCAAUCAGGGCAGAACUAUGAAGGAAGGUUUCCUUACACACCCUGCACUCGUAGAAUUUGUCUUUGCCAUAUAUUUUCUGAAGCUCGCUAAAGGUGGGGCUAGGCAUGAAGGCUUCCUCACAUUCCUGAUUCUUACAUUCCACAAGAUAACCUCUAGCAUGAAUCUUCCGAUGUUCAGCCAAGGCGGCACUCUUAUUGAAGGUCUCUCCACAGUCCUUACAUUCAAAACGUUUCCCUCCAACCUGACUUUUCUGAACUUCACUGACAGCCACACUGUGAAUAAAGGACUCACCAUACUCAUAGAGGUUCUCUCUAGUAUGCAUGAUCUGGUGCUCAACAAAUUCUGAGAUGACACUGAACGACCUCCCACACUCAUCACAUACAUAUGGCAUUGCCCCAAAAUCAAUUGGCUGUGACUCGGUAAAGGAGGGGGAGCUGAGGCUGCUCAGGCUGCUCAUGCUCAUGGCUUUUCUCAUCUCACUACCACAUUCAAAGGGCUUCUUCCUGGGACAGGCUUUUUGAUCGUGAAUCGAGCCCUUCCCAUCUGUGUCAAAAUGAUAGCGCCUCUUUCUUUCAAGAACUCUCUUUCUGGAAACAAGGGUUGAAUUAAACCUAAAGCCUCCCCUAAAUGCAUUCCCUUCAUAAACCCGCUGCUGGAUCACUGACUCCCUCUUGUUCAAUGAAAUGUCCUUCCAGUUAUCAUCUGACAUUCUGGGGAAUCUCUGUGACCGGUCGCUUGACUCCCUUGCUCUUCCCGAUUUGGAACUGCGUGACACAUCCUUGAUGAAUUUUUCCAUUAUCACUCCGUGGGAAGAUUCAUCUUCACAAAUCCCCCGCCGGUGGGUUGAUUUUUUGGCUUCAGGCAUAGUUU